rnacentral:rRNA from 1 species
GAUGAACGCUGGCGGCGUGCCUAAUACAUGCAAGUCGAGCGAACAGAUGAGGAGCUUGCUCCUCUGACGUUAGCGGCGGACGGGUGAGUAACACGUGGAUAACCUACCUAUAAGACUGGGAUAACUUCGGGAAACCGGAGCCAAUACCGGAUAAUAUAUUGAACCGCAUGGUUCAAUAGUGAAAGACGGCUUUGCUGUCACUUAUAGAUGGAUCCGCGCCGCAUUAGCUAGUUGGUAAGGUAACGGCUUACCAAGGCAACGAUGCGUAGCCGACCUGAGAGGGUGAUCGGCCACACUGGAACUGAGACACGGUCCAGACUCCUACGGGAGGCAGCAGUAGGGAAUCUUCCGCAAUGGGCGAAAGCCUGACGGAGCAACGCCGCGUGAGUGAUGAAGGUCUUCGGAUCGUAAAACUCUGUUAUUAGGGAAGAACAAAUGUGUAAGUAACUAUGCACGUCUUGACGGUACCUAAUCAGAAAGCCACGGCUAACUACGUG